CCUACGGGAGGCAGCAGUGAGGAAUAUUGCUCAAUGGGCGAAAGCCUGAACCAGCCAAGUCGCGUGAGGGAUGACGGACCUAGUGGUUGUAAGCUCCUUUUAUAGGGAAGUAAAUCGCGGUACGUGAGUAAGUUUCCCUGGCUCACUACGUGCAAGCAGCCGCGGUUACACGGAGGCGGCCGGCGUUAUCCGGAUUUUUUGGGUGUAAAGGGAGCGUAGUCGGGAGUGCAAGACUGGAGUGAAAGGUGGGGGCUCAACCUCCGGACUGCACUGGAAACUGUACGGCUGGAGUGCAGGAGAGGUAAGUGGAAGUCGUGGUGUAGCGGUGAAAUGCGUAGAUAUGAGGAAGAACACCAAUGGCGAAGGCAGCUUACUGGACUGUAACUGACGCUGAGGCUCGAAAGCGUGGGGAGCAAACAGGAUUAGAUACCCGGGUAGUC
rnacentral:rRNA from 1 species